rnacentral:rRNA from 1 species
ACGGAAGGCAGCAGUGGGGAAUAUUGCACAAUGGGCGAAAGCCUGAUGUAGCGACGCCGCGUGAGUGAAGAAGUAUCUCGGUAUGUAAAGCUCUAUCAGCAGGGAAGAAAAUGACGGUACCUGACUAAGAAGCCCCGGCUAACUACGUGCCAGCAGCCGCGGUAAUACGUAGGGGGCAAGCGUUAUCCGGAUUUACUGGGUGUAAAGGGAGCGUAGACGGUUUGGCAAGUCUGAAGUGAAAUGCGGGGGCUCAACUCCUGAACUGCUUUGGAAACUGUCGAACUAGAGUGCAGGAGAGGUAAGUGGAAUUCCUAGUGUAGCGGUGAAAUGCGUAGAUAUUAGGAGGAACACCAGUGGCGAAGGCGGCUUACUGGACUGUAACUGACGUUGAGGCUCGAAAGCGUGGGGAGCAAACAGGAUUAGAUACCCUGGUA